rnacentral:lncRNA from 1 species
ACUAAUUUGCAAAAGAGCAUAAGAGGAUAAGGUCAUCUUUUUAAAGAAAAGAAUAGAGGAUACGAGCAGGGAGCUCCACAGCAACGUACGGGGAAAGAGACGAGGUCCAGGAGCAGCGGCGAGCUCCACCGUCGGCACGCUCGAGCUCGCAUGUAUGCGGGCCGACGCCGGGCCACGAGGAGCAGCUCUACUCCUUGCCCCUGCACCACGCAGCCCGGGGACCCUCGACGGUGAGCUCUGUCGCCGCCGGGGCGCUCGAGCUCGCAGGCGUGCGGGCCGAGGCCACCGGGCCACAAGCCGCAGCUCCACCGCGCCUCCCCUGCACCUCGCUGCCGUGCAGCCCCGACCCUCGACGGUGAGCUCCGCAGCCGCCGGUGCCUUCCCCUAUCUCUCCCAUCUCUAUCUGAUGCGUGCCGCCGUCGCUGUUCUCCUGCAGCACGCCAUCGAGCUCAACCAUGGCCGCCCGAUGCUCAAGCCGCCGCCACCGGAGCUCCGUUGCCCUGUCGCCCUAACCGAGACCGCCGCCGGAUCCAUGCCGUCUUGCCCGUCGCCGACCACACUGGAUCACCCCUGUUCCCCGCUGCCAGAGUAAGCAGCAGCUUUGCCGGCCGCGCACAGGGAGGGAGUGGCCGCCGGCGUCCACCACCGGACUUAAGGACCCAACUGCUUUUUCUUUUCAGGGGUCCUUUUGCACAAUCAAAUUGUAUCGGGGAUGUAAUUGACUGUUUUUUUGCCACGUCAACCUGUUUGGCGGGACCCGCCUAUCAUAAUCAUGCUCAAAACGGCCUAAGCCAGCCACUAGUGUUUUUUGAAAAAAAUUAGCCUCGGAAUUAGUGGUUUUUGACACAAAA